rnacentral:rRNA from 1 species
GAUGAACGCUGGCGGCGUGCUUAACACAUGCAAGUCGAACGGAAAGGCCCUGCUUUUGUGGGGUGCUCGAGUGGCGAACGGGUGAGUAACACGUGAGUAACCUGCCCUUGACUUUGGGAUAACUUCAGGAAACUGGGGCUAAUACCGGAUAGGAGCUCCUGCUGCAUGGUGGGGGUUGGAAAGUUUCGGCGGUUGGGGCUGGACUCGCGGCUUAUCAGCUUGUUGGUGGGGUAGUGGCUUACCAAGGCUUUGACGGGUAGCCGGCCUGAGAGGGUGACCGGCGACAAUAGGACUGAGAUACGGCCCAGACGCCUACGGGAGGCAGCGGUGGGGAAUAUUGCACAAUGGGCGGAAGCCUGAUGCAGCAACGCCGGGAGCGGGAUGACGGCCUUCGGGUUGUAAACCGCUUUCGCCUGUGACAAAGCGUGAGUGACGGUAAUGGGUAAAGAAGCACCGGCUAACUACGUG